rnacentral:rRNA from 1 species
CACGGAGUUAGCCGGUGCUUAUUCAUCAGGUACCGUCAAAUGAGCUGGAAAGCUCACAUUUCUUCCCUGAUAAAAGAAGUUUACAAUCCAGAGGACCUUCAUCCUUCACGCGGCAUGGCUGGUUCAGACUUGCGUCCAUUGACCAAUAUUCCUUACUGCUGCCUCCCGUAGGAGUCGGGCCCGUGUCUCAGUGCCCGUGUGACUGGUCGUGCUCUCACACCAGUUACUGAUCGUCGGCUUGGUGAGCCGUUACCUCACCAACUACCUAAUCAGACGCACGCCCAUCUUUCAGUAAUAAAUCUUUAAUAGCUGAGUGAUGCCACUCUACUAUCCUAUGGGGUAUUAAUCCAAAUUUCUCUGGGCUAUCCCCCGCUGAAAGGAAGGUUGCGUACGUGUUCCGCACCCGUUUGCCGGUCGCCGCCCGGUAUUGCUACCUGCGCUGCCCCUCGACUUGCAUGUAUUAAGCCUGCCGCCUAGCGUUCAUCCUGAGCCA